UGGUGCCCUAGGCACAGUGGAACCACACUCAUCCUAUCCCGAACUGAGUUGUGAAACACUGCAGCGGUCAAAAUACUAUGGGGGAUGCCCCAUGGGAAGAUAGCUAGGUGCCAAAAU